CUUAUUUGCAAUUUGUUUUCAUACUUUUUGAUUUAAAGUUGUGGCACUUUAUUUCUUCUUUGGAGUUGUAGUGCUCCAUUCAAGAGGCAGGAUGAUGAUUCAUGCAACAUUAAAAUAUCUCAAGAUGAAAAUCAUAAACUGAUUCAUCAAAUAAACAGUAUGAAUAUUACAAAUGUAGAAAUGCAAGAGAAUAUUCAGAUUAUUGAAAUACCAAAGAAUGAAGAAAACAGGAAAACUAGCUUGAAAGAUAGGACUGAACACAUUCAAAAUUUAUAGCCAAGAUUACAGCAGGAACAGAUCAAAACAUCAGGAUUAUUCAAACAUCAAAGGAUGAUGGAAAAGAGAGAGAUGGUACAGAAAUUCAAAUUGAAAAGAUACAGUUUACAACAGAAAAUGAGAUGGAAACAAAUCAAGACAUCAGGAUUGCUGAGACAUUAAAGAAGAAUGAAAACAAGGAAGAUAAUUUAUAAACUUAAACAAUAUAAUCAGAGAGUAUAGAAGCUUACAAUAAAUCAUUAUACUCAAAAUAGAAAUCCCAAUGUUUAUCAAUCAUGCAUUUACAGUUACAAAGGAAGAUAAUGAUAGCAGAACUACCAGACAGUUCUUCAUCCUGCAUCUUGAAUGGAGCAUUGUAACUCUGAAGAGGAGAUGGUAUCACAACUUGAAAUCAAAAAGUAUGAAAAACAAAUUGCUAUUGAAGAAGAUUUUGAUGAUACUAAUAAUGAUCAUAAUUAUGAAUCUACAUUCUGAUUUAGAUACAUUUGAUGCAGUUAAUGACACAAUUAAAGAAAAUACUGAAUCAAAAAGACCAAAAAAUAAACAAAUCUUGGCUGAAGUCAAUAUAGAAAAUGAAUUUCUAAAUUCCAAGAAUGUGUCAAAAACACUUAAGAAAUGAAUUGUGCAGCUGAAUGAAUGGAAAAAAGAAGAAAACCAAACUUUUCGUUAAUGCUGAUAAAAGAGCACAUAAACCAAAUCUCAAGAGUUGUUAGAACAAAAGCAAUGCAUCUACCAUGUUGUGAAAAAUGUAGGCUCCAAUGUUCCACUAAACUUGCACUAGAAAUUGGAGUGCUAUCUUUGAUAGAUACUGGGACUUGCAGGGCCAGUUAUAUAAAAGAAGACUAAUUUGAGCCAUGAGAUCGGAA
rnacentral:lncRNA from 1 species